UACGAAGGGGGCUAGCGUUGCUCGGAAUCACUGGGCGUAAAGCGCACGUAGGCGGAUUGCUAAGUCAGGGGUGAAAUCCUGGAGCUCAACUCCAGAACUGCCUUUGAUACUGGCGACCUUGAGUCCGGGAGAGGUGAGUGGAACUGCGAGUGUAGAGGUGAAAUUCGUAGAUAUUCGCAAGAACACCAGUAGCGAAGGCGGCUCACUGGCCCGGUACUGACGCUGAGGUGCGAAAGCGUGGGGAGCAAACAGG
rnacentral:rRNA from 1 species